GAUGAACGCUGGCGGCGUGCUUAACACAUGCAAGUCGAACGGGAAAUCUUUCAUUGAGCCUUCGGUGGAUUUGAUUUAUUUCUAGUGGCGGCCGGGGGAGUAACGCGUGGGUAACCUGCCUUAUACAGGGGGAUAACAGUCAGAAAUGGCUGCUAAUACCGCAUAAGCGCACAGAGCUGCAUGGCUCAGUGUGAAAAACUCCGGUGGUAUAAGAUGGACCCGCGUUGGAUUAGCUAGUUGGUGGGGUAACGGCCCACCAAGGCGACGAUCCAUAGCCGGCCUGUGAGGGUGAGCGGCCACACUGGGACUGAGACACGGCCCAGACUCCUACGGGAGGCAGCAGUGGGGAAUAUUGCACAAUGGGGGAAACCCUGAUGCAGCGACGCCGCGUGAAGGAAGAAGUAUCUCGGUAUGUAAACUGCUAUCAGCAGGGAAGAUAGUGACGGUACCUGACGAAGAAGCCCCGGCUAACUACGUG
rnacentral:rRNA from 1 species